CGGCGUGCUUAACACAUGCAAGUCGAACGAUGAAGGUGGGAGCUUGCUCCUACUGGAUUAGUGGCGAACGGGUGAGUAACACGUGAGCAAUCUGCCCCUGACUCUGGGAUAAGCGUUGGAAACGACGUCUAAUACCGGAUACGAGCUGGGACCGCAUGGUCACCAGCUGGAAAGAACUUUGGUCAGGGAUGAGCUCGCGGCCUAUCAGCUUGUUGGUGAGGUAAUGGCUCACCAAGGCGACGACGGGUAGCCGGCCUGAGAGGGUGACCGGCCACACUGGGACUGAGACACGGCCCAGACUCCUACGGGAGGCAGCAGUGGGGAAUAUUGCACAAUGGGCGCAAGCCUGAUGCAGCAACGCCGCGUGAGGGACGAAGGCCUUCGGGUUGUAAACCUCUUUUAGCAGGGAAGAAGCGAAAGUGACGGUACCUGCAGAAAAAGCGCCGGCUAACUACG
rnacentral:rRNA from 1 species